rnacentral:lncRNA from 10 species
ACAGGGUAUUGCUGUGUCACACGGGGUAUAGUGCAGUGACAUGAUUACAGCUAACUGCAGUCUCAACCUUCCAGGACCAAGUGAUCCUUUUUCUUCAGCCUCUCAUGUAGCUGGGAACACAGGCCCUCUUAUUGGAAUGUUGCUCCAAGAACAAAGAUAUCAUGAGAAAGCCGUGCUUAGCAUGCCUAAAAUGAGACCUUCUUUUCUAUUCCAUUUUAACCAGGAAAAUUAAGCCCUAUAUUAAACUUUAGCUUAAUUAUAACCAGGUAACAUACCAUGAUGACUUUGUUCUAAAUAUUGAAAUGACAAAUGCCAGGUUGGAAUUACCUUUAGCUAUCAUAUAUAAUUCAGCUUAUCACAUUAAUAAUAAAAUAAUUUUUCACAGUAACAUAUUGGGAUGUUGUAACUAUUGUUGGUGGCUUGAACCAGGAUGUUACUGAAAUGGCGAGAUUUUAUUUCCAUGUAACCCAAGAUAUUUGUCUUUCCCUUGAAGUUUUGUCUUGAGAUAUAAAUAUUGUUGAUUUUAUCCAUCUUUCAUAGCAAGAUAUUUUUAAGGAGAUGUGUGUUUCAUAGUGCCAAUAAUUGCAUACCCAAAAGCCCAAUGACCCACACAUUUUCCUAUCUGGCUGAGUUUAUCUUCUACUAUAAAAACUGCUAAUGUCAGACACUAGCUUUUCCACUUUCAAUCACAGUAAGCAAAUAGACAUAUUGAAAAAUCUUGAUUCACAGUAGGAAUAGACCCAGAAAAAGUCUGCUGGGGGGAUAAUUUCUGGUAAAGGUCUUACUCCCUGACUUAAAAAAAUAAUGAAAAUAAAUCUAUCCUUACCUAGGUGUGAGAUGUCCAGGAUUUCAAAUAAUAGAAAGUAAGCCUAUAAAUCAGGCUGAUAUUUAAGGAUGUCUAAGCCUCAUUUCCAAAUUGUAUCUCUGAAGAUCUGAACCAGUCUAGGAUUCUCUAUUACAGGACUUCUGUUAUAUACUACCUGUUUUGUUGGGUGUCAGUUGUAUGUUAGGUGUGAUAAUACAUCUCUGGUAGAAAUUCUUACUAAACACAUCCUUAUUGAUACAAAAGAACAAUGACAACUCAAUGGCUAUUCAUAGAUAUAGUGCCUAGGUUUCUUCAUGUAAUGUCAAAGAGUUUGUACAUAGUUCACUCCCCAUCAUAGGUAGAGGUUUCUGUUAAAACUUGAUCAGAGACUGAUAUGGUUUGGUUCUGUGUCCCUACCAAAAUCUGAUCUCAAACUGUAAGCCCCAUGUACUGAGAGAAAAACCUGUAAUUCUCAUGUGAGGAGGGAGGGAAGUCAUUGGAUUAUGGGGGUGCUUUCCCCCAUGCAGUUCUUGUGAUAGUGACUGAAUUCUCAUGAGAUCUGAUGGUUUUAUAAAUGGUAGUUUUUUCUGCCCUCUCACACACACUUCUCCCUCCUGCUGCCAUGUGAAGGUCAUUGCUUCCUCUUCACCUUCUG